rnacentral:rRNA from 1 species
UGAAUACGAGACGCUAAGGCGUCGAAGUAGUGUAUGUCAUACUUCCAAGAAAAGCUUGCACUGUCAUAGAUAAAAAACGCCUGUACCAUAACCGACACAGGUGGGUAGGUAGAGUAUACUAAGGGGCGCGAGAUAACUCUCUCUAAGGAACUCGGCAAAAUAACUCCGUAACUUCGGGAGAAGGAGUGCCUUAUUAUUAAGGCUGCAAUAACAAGAUCCAAGCAACUGUUUAUCAAAAACACAGGUCUCCGCUAAGUCGUAAGACGAUGUAUGGGGGCUGACGCCUGCCCAGUGCCAGAAGGUUAAAGAAGUUGGUUAGCAUUUGCGAAGCUGAUAACUGAAGCCCUGGUGAACGGCGGCCGUAACUAUAACGGUCCUAAGGUAGCGAAAUUCCUUGUCGGGUAAGUUCCGACCCGCACGAAAGGCGUAAUGAUUUGGAUACUGUCUCGGAGAGGGGCUCGGUGAAAUAGACUUGUCUGUGAAGAUGCGGACUACCUGCACCAGGACAGAAAGACCCUAUGAAGCUUUACUGUAACUUGAAAUUGAAAUUGGACUUUAUUCGCGCAGCAUAGGUGGGAGGCGUUGAUUAUAAUCUUGUGGGAUUAUUGGAGCCAUCAGUGAGAUACCACUCUUGUAAUGUUAGAUUUCUAACUUUGAAUCAUUAUCUGGUCAAAGAACAGUUUCAGGCGGGCAGUUUGACUGGGGCGGUCGCCUCCUAAACGGUAACGGAGGCGUACAAAGGUUUCCUCUGAACGGUUAGAAAUCGUAUCUAGAGUGUAAAGGCAUAAGGAAGCUUGACUGUGAGACCUACAAGUCGAGCAGGGACGAAAGUCGGUCUUAGUGAUCUGACGGUACUGAGUGGAAAGGCCGUCACUCAACGGAUAAAAGUUACUCUAAGGAUAACAGGCUGAUCUCCCCCAAGAGUUCGCAUCGACGGGGAGGUUUGGCACCUUGAUGUCGGCUCAUCGCAUCCUGGGGCGGUAGUACGUCCCAAGGGUUGGGCUGUUCGCCCAUGAAAGCGGUACGCGAGCUGGGUUCAGAACGUCGUGAGACAGUUCGGUCCAUAUCCGGUGUAGGCGUUAGAAUAUUGAGAGGAGCCUUCUUUAGUACGAGAGGACCGAGAAGGACAUACCUCUGGUGUACCAGUUAUCGUGCCAACGGUAAACGCUGGGUAGCUAUGUAUGGAGUGGAUAACCGCUGAAAGCAUCUAAGUGGGAAGCCCACCUCAAGAUAAG